rnacentral:lncRNA from 1 species
CUGUCCUUUCUUUUAAUUUUUUUCACAAAGGAACUUCAAACUUCUCUGGUGGCUUAGGUGGCACCUUCCCUCUUGCAUGGUCUGCCAACUCUCGCCAACUCCUCCUAUGUAUCAAUGUCUGGGAAGCAACUGCUCCUGCUCCUCACCAUGUGAUGUGCAACAUGGGUGUUCAGACACUGGAAUUUUGGCAGACCAGGAGGUUUGCUUUUUUCCUGGAGAUUUCCACCCUGGACUUUUCCUUUGACUUAUGUUCUUACAGGUACCUCAUCUCUACUCACUGAAAUGACAUAUGUUACACAUGGUGAGCUAACACGACGCUUGUUUCUCCAAAACUACUGGCCUACGGAACUGCACAAUGCCCACUGUGGAAGAAGAGCUGGAAGUUUACCAACCUCAGUGUCCAUCCAACUCAGCCAGAUCACCUGGAAUAUUGGGGUCUAUGACCUCCAGGGACCACCAGAGAGACUCCCAGAAUAGAGGAAUCUUUUUGGCAACAGAAAAGCUGGAAGCCAAGAAUAACUUUUAUUUGGCUUGUUCAUAAAAUGUUUGUACCUUGGAAAUGGGCUGAUAAUUUUAUGAAAUCUUCAAAGUAGGAUGCUGAAGUUAUCAGCUGUUAAAGUUUAUGCAAAUAUUUCGCAUGUUUCAGGUGGCUUAGCAUACUUUUUUCCUCCUGUCUAUAAGUCAUAUAUAUAUAUAUAUAUAUAUAUAUAAAUAUUUAGUAAGUGUAGUCCUAAUAUGUGCUGAGGAACUUCAGCAGCAGUUGGUCAUUAAUUAGUAACCACUCAAAAAACACAUUCAGAUUGUUUCUGACAGUCAUUUUCCUAUACAUUUUCCAAGACAUUUUAAUAAUUGUCAUUCUCUCCCAUUUAAAUAAUAAUGUACCAUGCACUGUCAUAUCAAAUAUAUUAUAGAAGUUCAAAUAAAUAACAUCUCUGUAAUGCCUAGUCUCUAAAU